UCCUGCAGAAGAUUUAAUAUUUGGUUUACAGCCGAGGAGUGAUGAUUUAUUAACAUUUAUUUAAAAAUAAAUAAACCACAACUUCAGGGGAGACGCAUGAGCGCAAUAAUAAUAAAACAUUCUGUUAUCGUAAAUUUAAACCUUCAAAACCUAAAAUCCCGAAAAACAUAAAUUAAAAAUAUAAAUAUUAAAACAGAACCUGCUUCAAAAUUCUUAGAACCUAAAUUUCAGAUGAAUCUAUUUUGUUCAGAAAUUACUUUUAAAUCUGAGGUCAGGUCCUCACUGCUGGGCAAGGCUUUUAUUUUGAAAGGAUUUCUCUCUCUGUAUGGAGCCCCUGUAGUGCUUUUAAUUUAACAUCUCUGAGCUAAAAAAAGAUACACAAAUGAAUAAAUAAAGUUGACCACAUAAUAAGCUAUAAGUGAAAGCAAGAUGUUUUAAAAAUACAAAAUGAAAACUAACAUAAAUCAAUUAAAAUACAGUCAAAUGAUAAAGCAUAAAAAUCUGAUAAAUGAACAGAUUUGCUCCAUAAAUUCAGCUGUAAAUAUGAUAUAAUUUAGUGCAAAAUUCAAUUUUGAUAAAGAAAAUACUCUAGUUAAAUUAUGACGUAUUUAAUUAUUGUUUGUGAAGUUCCCCCUUUUGCACAAGUUUUUAUUUUGAAAGGCAUCUUUUCAUAUGGAGCUCCAGAAGUCUUUUUUUUUUGCAUUAAUAUAUUUUAUCCUGUUCAGACAGAUUAAUAGGAAUAAAACCUUGAUGUUGAUGAAAUGUUUAGAUAUUUAAAAAUUUAAUAAAAGUUAAAUUCUUAUUAUUAACGACGUAAUAAAUCCUUCAUGGCUGCAGAAAAACUAAACCAAGCUGCUCCAAAAUUCAGCUGUACAAAAGUGAGAAAAGGGAUUUCAGAAGAUAAUUUUAGGAAAAAAUAAAUUUAUUUACUUCUCAUGUGUUUUUAUUUCCAAGUUUUUACUUUGUCACAAUUUUUUAUUUUGAAAGGGACUUGCUCCUGAAGUGCUUUUAUUUUUUAAUUCAUUCAAACUAAAAAUAAUCUCUCACUUCAGAGGCUCCAUGUUGAUAUUAUUAUUGAAAAUAAAACUUUGUGUGGAAACGCAGAGACUAAGAAAUGUAAACUGUACUGUAAAACUUUCUGAUCAUUUGUCAGAAAUCCAGAGCUGAGCUUCGGUUUCAGGUUAAAGCAGAGCCGACGUUCUUCCUGCACGGAACCGUCAGGAAGGUCGUGAUGCGUUCCGGGCUCGCAAAAUUAAAAAUCUUCCCACAGAAAUCCUCCUAAUCAUGCUGUGGUCCGAAGAGCCGACAGAAACGUUUUUAUCAAAGUGACAAAUUUUUUAUCCAGAAACAAAACGAUGAUAUUUUUGAUACAACGCUCUGCUUUACUUUGUUCUGGAAGCUUCAUGUUUAUUACUGGUAAACAUGUUGUCCUUCAGCUCUUCUUGCUCUGUGUUUUUAUUAGAGACCAAAACUCUGCUGCCCUCUGCUGGUCGCAACCAGACAGUGCAGCUUAAGAACGUGUGGUUUUUAAAAAUCAUAUUUAAGUGAAAUUUGUGGAAGUUUUUUUUUUUUUUACUUUCUAAGCUUUAGAUCUGUGUGAAGCUCUUAGCCUCACACUCCUCAUGUUCUGCUGUUUGUAUUUUGAUUGAAUGCACUUGGACGCUGUGAUGGCACUUGUUUUUCAGAAUCAGUCUGGCAGCUCAGCAGGAGUUAAAUAUUAACUGUGAAACAAAAGAAAAAUGUGGAGUUUAAAUUAAAUUCAUGUGAAUCUGAAAAGAUUUCAUAUAAAAAGAGAUUUCAGAGGUGUUCUUGGAUAUUUGACCACUUGGUGGCGCUGUGACGUUAGAUUUAAUUUCCUGUCUCCUGCCUGUUGUCAGACUGUUUAUUAUCAAGCUAUUAAACCACAUUAAGGACAAUCUGUGGUUCUGUGUUUGUUUAAAAAUUAAUUCCAGUUUUUGUGUCCAACUUCUUUUAAGUCUGUGACCUUUGACCCUGAAGCCAACACAAAGACGGAGAUGAUUCCACCAACUGUUUCAGUCUAAAACAAAGAAACCAGAGAAACAAUCGAGUCAUUUUAUUAAGAAGAGACGUAAAAACUUCCUAAACAAAAACAGAAUAUUUGUUUUGUUCACAAUAAACCAGAAAACAGGAAGUUUUUAACUCUGAAGAAAACUGUGCAGAUUUUUCUGGAAACAUUUCUUCAUCAUGUGUAAUCAGCCGGUUCUCCUCAGAACCGAACCGAACCGGGUCGGAUGAGGACCCGCCGCUCAGAGGAGGAAGAUGCUGAAUCGUCACAGUGGAUUUAAAACUCAUCCUGUCUGAAACCAAAAUUUUUCUCCGUCUGCGGUUCUCCAGGUUCUCCAGGUUCUCUGGAGGUCGUUCAGGUUUCCUUUGGACCAGUUAAAGAAACUCAUGAUUCCUAAACCACUUUCAGCCCUUAAAUGCCUGUUGUGUACUUGGCAUCUGUAGGAGCGCAGAAAAGUUUAACUUAGUUUCUCCUGGUGCUGCAUAGAUACCUUCAUAUUCUGUCUGGGUCCGACGUUUCAAUCCAAUCACUUUUCUCUGCUCCAUAUUAUGUUUUUUAACUAUUACAUCACAGUAUUUGCUGUGAAGCUCAGCAACAUCACAGACUUCCAGCUUGCCAAUUUUGCAAGUCAAAAGUAAAACAAUGCUGAUUAUUCCCUCUCCUCACUCACCACCAGGGGGCGUCUGUCUGAGAUAGUUUUAGAAAACAGUACGGUCUGACAGCGGGGCAACGGGCGAUGUCCCGUCAGACCGUCAAUUCCCAAAACCACACACACACACACACACA